rnacentral:rRNA from 1 species
UACGUAGGUGGCAAGCGUUAUCCGGAAUUAUUGGGCGUAAAGAGCGCGCAGGUGGUUGAUUAAGUCUGAUGUGAAAGCCCACGGCUUAACCGUGGAGGGUCAUUGGAAACUGGUCGACUUGAGUGCAGAAGAGGGAAGUGGAAUUCCGUGUGUAGCGGUGAAAUGCGUAGAGAUAUGGAGGAACACCAGUGGCGAAGGCGGCUUCCUGGUCUGUAACUGACACUGAGGCGCGAAAGCGUGGGGAGCAAACAGGAUUAGAUACCCGUGUA